ACCAUCCUACACAUGUGAGAACCAAGGACCCAGUGGUUCAGGAACCUGUGGGGCAGCCACACACCAGGGAUGGAAGGCUGCCUGCCUUGGACGUGUCCUUGGACCUAUCGGAGCCGUCCUGCGCACAGGUGUUGGACAAGAGAAUGAGGGGCACCAGACUGUGAUGCAAACUCAGGACUCUGACCUUGGAGACUAAAUGGAAAAGAGAGCAUGGAUGGAAGGACAGCCACAGCCCAGGGAGACCAAUGUGCUGUGGUCCAGUGUGAAAAGCUGAUGACUCCAUGGCAGACCUGCAUCAGGGCUCUUCCAUCUUCAGCAGCAACCUCAAAACCACCUUGCCAGGGCUGUGCACAGAGGGAGUUAACCGACACCUAUGCAAAUGGCCGAGCCCACUGGGACAUGAGGCAGAGAAGCAGAGUGAUGAAAGUGCUGUCCUGAGACACAUAAUCAGGAGUUGUACCCAUUCCAAGAAAGACCACCAUUGAUGGCUUGACUCUGGGAAGGUCACAUGGACGAGUUGACAUUGGAUAUGAGCCUUGAGGGUGCAUCAGGAAUGCAUGAAAAAGAGAUUUCCGGUUCCAAAAGCCCCAUCACCCUUGAUAUUGUCAACUAAAAAAAUGCACAGACUAAAAGUUGAGUAUUAUGCAAAAGUGAGGACCUAUGCCUGGGAUGCAGCCUCUCACCUCUGAGACACUGCUGCCAAGAGGUAAGGGAGGAGACAGGAUAUAUAGGAGUUUUUGCAACAAAGACCAGGUACUUGAUUUUCUAUGUACAGGAAGAUGCAAGAGUCUGGGCUCACUGAAAUCAUUCCUUUGAUAUGCACCUU